rnacentral:rRNA from 1 species
GGGGAAUAUUGGACAAUGGGCGCAAGCCUGAUCCAGCCAUGCCGCGUGCAGGAUGAAGGCCUUCGGGUUGUAAACUGCUUUUGUACGGAACGAAAAGGUGCCUUCUAAUAAAGGGCGCUCAUGACGGUACCGUAAGAAUAAGCACCGGCUAACUACGUGCCAGCAGCCGCGGUAAUACGUAGGGUGCGAGCGUUAAUCGGAAUUACUGGGCGUAAAGCGUGCGCAGGCGGUUUUGUAAGACAGAGGUGAAAUCCCCGGGCUCAACCUGGGAACUGCCUUUGUGACUGCAAGGCUGGAGUGCGGCAGAGGGGGAUGGAAUUCCGCGUGUAGCAGUGAAAUGCGUAGAUAUGCGGAGGAACACCGAUGGCGAAGGCAAUCCCCUGGGCCUGCACUGACGCUCAUGCACGAAAGCGUGGGGAGCAAACA